UACGUAGGUGGCAAGCGUUGUCCGGAAUUAUUGGGCGUAAGGCGCGCGCAGGCGGUCCUUUAAGUCUGAUGUGAAAGCCCACGGCUCAACCGUGGAGGGUCAUUGGAAACUGGAGGACUUGAGUACAGAAGAGGAAAGCGGAAUUCCACGUGUAGCGGUGAAAUGCGUAGAGAUGUGGAGGAACACCAGUGGCGAAGGCGGCUUUCUGGUCUGUAACUGACGCUGAGGCGCGAAAGCGUGGGGAGCAAACAGG
rnacentral:rRNA from 1 species